rnacentral:rRNA from 1 species
UCGUAACAAGGUUUCCGUAGGUGAACCAGGGGAAGGAACAUU